rnacentral:rRNA from 1 species
AGCAGCCGCGGUAAUUCCAGCUCCAAUAGCGUAUAUUAAAGUUGUUGCAGUUAAAAAGCUCGUAGUUGAAUUUCGGGAUUAGUAGGUUGGUCGUGCCUCUGGUAUGUACUCGCCUUACUGAUUCCUCCUUCUUGAAGAACUGUAAUGCCAUUAAUUUGGUGUUGCAGGGAAACAGGACUGUUACUUUGAAAAAUUAGAGUGUUUAAAGCAGGCCAUUGCCUGAAUACAUUAGCAUGGAAUAAUGAAAUAGGACGUUGAUCCUAUUUUGUUGGUUUCUAGGAUUGACGUAAUGAUUAAUAGGGAUAGUUGGGGGCAUUAGUAUUCAAUUGUCGGAGGUGAAAUUCUUGGAUUUAUUGAAGACUAACUACUGCGAAAGCAUUUGCCAAGGAUGUUUUCCUUAAUCAAGAACGAAAGUUAGGGGAUCGAAGACGAUCAGAUACCGUCGUAGUCUUAACCAUAAACUAUGCCGACUAGGGAUCGGAUGAUGUUAAUUUUUAAUGACUCAUUCGGCGCCUUACGG